CAGCAGCCGCGGGAAUACGUAAGGGGCAAGCGUUGUCCGGAAUCACUGGGCGUAAAGCGCACGUAGGCGGUUUGUCAAGUUGGGGGUGUAAGCUCUGGGCCUAACCCAGAAAUUGCCUCCAAAACUAGCAUACUUGAGUAUUAGAGGGGAAGCUGGAAUUCACGGUGUAGCGGUGAAAUGCGUAGAUAUCGUGGAGAACACCCGUGGCGAAGGCGGGCUUCUGGCUAAUUACUGACGCUGAGGUGCGAAAGCUAGGGGAGCGAACGGGAUUAGAUACCCCCGUAGUCCCUGUCUCUUAUAC
rnacentral:rRNA from 1 species